AGAAGUGAUUUCCCAAUAAGACUGCAAAUUGUCAGUGGCAUCAUUUUCUAUUGGAAGUUUCAGAGUAAAAUGUAAAUUAAAUGUCUUGCAUCAAUAGGACUUUAGUUUUAAUAAUCAAACUUUAUAAGUUUUAUGAACUGGCAACACAAGUCAUGACAAGAAGAUGGGUCCAGUCUUGUGCAUCCACUGUUGUGAAAGCCAAUGGAUCAAGAAACAAAAAGGACUUGUGAAGUACUCGAGUUAACAUGGCAAAUAUAGAAUUUACAAUCACAUGGUCACAUUCUGCAAUAGAAUUUGUGCUGUCCAUAGAUAUUCUUAUGAUCUAUCCAUUGUUUAUUAGUAUCAUCUAUCAUUAUCUAAGUACCAACUCUUGAAACGAAAGACGAUAUCUGAAUUCAUUAUUUUAGAAAACUAUCCAACGCACAUUCAAGUUGAAUAAUGCAAAAAUUAUAACGCUACUGAAAUCAACUACGUAUAUAUAUAGAGAGGUUGAGGUUAAACUAAGGGAAACACAAACCUGAUUAGUAUCUUGAGUUGGAAU
rnacentral:misc_RNA from 1 species